AACAGAAGAAGGUAUUGUCGUUGCGUUUCUUUCUCUGUCCUUUUUCGCUCCGCUUAAAAACAGAGCAACCCUUCGCCGGAAAAGCAUACUGGAACAACCGCCAUGGGUUAAGCCGAAGCCUCUCCGACCACCAUGGCUCCGCUUCUUGUACGGAGUCUUGCCUCUUCUCUCUUCGUCUUUGCCGAUAAAUCCUUCAUCAAUUUGUCUAAGAAAUACAUACUCCUCGAGAUUAUUCACAAACUAUUAGUCUCCUCCUUCCUCUUUUUCCUCCGUUUGCUUCCUUCCUUUUUCUCUUCAAUCCACCUGGUUCCCGGCGAUCGAUUCCCUCUAAAACCCUCAAAAAGUGUGUGUUACGGUGGCGGCGGAAACGGAAGCGGAGGCGGCGAUUUAGGGAUUUCUCGAGCCCUAACGCAAUUGUUGUCGAUUAUCAGUCACAUUCCAGUCAGUUCUCGCAAGUACGAAGUGGUUCGAUCGUUAGCGGAGAAGUUAAUCGACGAGAAUCACUGGGAAGGGAUUAAGGAACUUCGUGAGGUCAAUCGUACGGUUCUUUCCACGGCCUUUAACCGGACAAUUGGCCAGAUUGAAGCUCGGAUGCUAGAUUUAGGGUUUUUUCAGGACGAUGACGACGAAGACUGUGGCGGCGGGUCCGUGAAUGGACCGGCGGAGUUCCGGUUAGGUCAGAUUGUGAGGGCGGUUCGGUUUUUGGGAGAGUAGGCGUAUAGCCGGCUCGGUAGGGUAAAGGAGGGGGCAAACCAGACCAGAAUCUCGGCGGAGAAAUUGGCGGCGGAGGCGCUGUGGUUAGCGGAAAAAAUGGCGAGUUGCGGUUGUCGGAGUGAGGCUUGUAGGCGGUGGGCUUCGGCGGGUCAAUUGGGAAGACUCUCUCUCGCGGCGGAGCCGCAACUACAGGGCUCAUUAGUUAAACUCGCAGCAUUCAUGUUCAAGCAAUGCCGAGAAAUGGGAAAGGAAGAAGAAGCAGAGAGUGAGAGACGGCGGCGGCAGAUGCAAACCAAGCUGAAGAUGCUGAAUUCAUGGCUUCCGUUGCUAUGCAGAGGCGUCAAUGGGCCUGAUGCGCCCAUCCUAAGCACCGGGGAGCGCCGAGAGGUGGAGUCAGCGUUGGAGGAGAUGAUAGCCACACUGCAACAAGACGAUCAAGAACAAGUCUUGGCUCUGUGGCUCCACCAUUUUACUUACUCCUCCUCCUCCGACUGGCCUGACCUCCAUGCCUCCUAUACUCUCGCUGGUACACCGCCUCUCGUAAGCUCUUCGUCCACCGACAUUACUAAUCUAACCUUCCCAUACGUACUUCUUAGCUCAACCGGUUAAGACAUAUAUCAUUUCUAAAAAAAUUAUUCUUAUUGCUUGAUUGAAGUUAUGGAAAUGUUGUCCGACAAAGAUGGAAACUUUUGUGAAUUGUUAUUCGACAAACUAAGUUAACUA